rnacentral:rRNA from 1 species
GAUGAACGCUGGCGGCGUGCCUAACACAUGCAAGUCGAGCGGAAGGACGAGAAGCUUGUUUUUUUGAUGUUAGCGGCGGACGGGUGAGUAACGCGUGGAUCACAUACUUAUCUGUCUGGGAUCAUUACGGAAAAACGGAGAUGAUAACGGAUCAUAUUUUGCACCGCUUGGUUCAAAGGUGAGUGGCGGUCUUGGUGUCUCUAAUAGCUGGUUCCGCGCUGCAUUAGCUAGUUGGUAAGGUAACGGCCUACCAAGGCGACGAUGCGUAGCCGAUCUGAGAGGAUGAUCGGCCACACUGGAACUGAGACACGGUCCAGACUCCUACGGGAGGCAGCAGUAGGGAAUCUUCGGCAAUGGGCGAAAGCCUGACACAGCAACGCCGCGUGAGUGAAGAAGGCCUUCGGAUCGUAAAGCCCUGUUAUUAGGGAAGAACAUAUGUAUAAUUAACUGUGGACAUCUUGACGGUACCUAAUCAGAAAGCCCCGGCUAACUACGUG